rnacentral:sRNA from 1 species
CUCAGGGUCCACACCCUGGGCUAUUUUCUGCCGCCUCUUCGAGGCU